rnacentral:tRNA from 1 species
GCGUCUGUAGCUCAAAAUGGAUAGAGCUUUACUUUCCGAAAGUAAAGGUUAUGGGUUCAACUCCCUUCAGACGCA